rnacentral:lncRNA from 1 species
UGCCUUCAUGUUCCAUCCUGUACACCUGGCUCUGCCUUUUAGAUAACAGUAGCAAAAUUAGUGAAAGUACUAAAAGUCUCUGAUACGCAGAAAUAAUGGCGUAAGCUGUCUCUCUCUCUCCCUGUCUAUCUCUGCCUUGGCUGCCAGGCAGGGAAGGGCCCCCUGUCCAGUGGACACGUGACCCACGUGACCUUACCUGUCAUUGGAGAUGACUCACACUCUUUACCCUGCCCCUUUUGCUUUGUAUCCAAUAAAUAACAGUGCAGCCAGACAUUCGGGGCCUCUACCGGUCUCCGCCUCUUGGUGGUAGUGGUCCCCCAAGCCCAGCUGUCUUUUCUUUUACCUCUUUGUCUUGUGUCUUUAUUUCUACAAUCUCUCGUCUCCGCACAUGGGGAGAAAAACCCACCGACCCUGUGGGGCUGGUCCCUACAGUUGGCCGGGUAUCUUGACUAGAGGAAGAUAGUGUUCUGGGUGGGAGACUCAAGAGGUCUGGUUACUGAAGAUACAGAUCUCACUUAAAGUAAGUAAAUUGACAUCUGGUUUCCAAAUCAAUCUAUUAUGAAAUUGGCCCAUGUCACUUUCAUUUGGCCUGAUCAAGUUUUUACUGAGAACUGAAUUGGGCACAGUGGCUCACACCUGUAAUCCCAGCACCUUAGGAGGCUAAGGCGGGAGGAUCACUUGAGUCCAGGAGUUUGAAAACAGCCUGGGCAACAUAACAAAGUCCCAUCUCCACAAAAAAUACAAACAUUAGCCCAGGAAGCUGAAGCAGGAGGAUCAUUUGAGCCCAGGAGGUCGAGGCAGCAGUGAGCUAUGAUCGUGCCACUGCACUCCAGCCUGGAUGGCAGAGCAAGACCCUGUCUCAAAAAAAAAAAAAAAAAAAAUUUGAGAACAUUGGACAUUCAGUAUCUCUCCCCUCUCUUGGGCAUCAUGUUUAGGUUCUGUCUCUAGAGCACAUCUCAGAGCCUGCUACAGGUAAACAGGCCAGAAGUUAAAUGCAUGAAACAAAUUAAAUGCAUGAAACAUUCAAGCACAUUCUUAUUGGUGUAAUUAAAAUAAAAAAGUAAAUGCAUGAAACAGAAGCUGUUUACCCACAGCAGAGGAGGGGCAGAAAUCAUAUCCAGUGUGCCAUAUCAUUACUGCCUGCCAGCAUUUCCUUAGGCUAUUUCAUUUAUUUACUUUUUUUGAGAUGGAGUCUCGCUCUGACUCCCAGGCUGGAGUGCAGUGGCAUGAUCUCCACUCACUGCAACCUCCACCUCCCAGGUUCAACCAAUUUUCCUGCCUCAGCCUCCCAAGUAGCUGGGAUUACAGGUGCCAGCCACCAUGACUGCCUAAUUUGUGUAUUUUUAGUGAGAGACAGGGUUUCACUACGUUGGCCAGGCUGGUCUCAAACUCCUGACCUCGAGUGAUCCACCCGCCUCGGCUUCCCAAAGUGCUGGGAUUACAGGCGUGAGCCACCAUGCCCACCUUCCUUUGGUUAUUGAGAUGGACAAAGAGUUACCCAGUAAGUUAAGAGCAGCUAGUUUUUAAUGAAUCUUAGCCCAGAAUACAAAGCAGGGUGUAGCAGUUGCCUUAAUGGUGAUAUAAUUGUAAACAAUAGCUUUUUC